rnacentral:rRNA from 1 species
UCGAUUCCCUUAGUAGCGGCGAGCGAAACGGGAAGAGCCCAAACCAACAAGCUUGCUUGUUGGGGUUGUAGGACACUCUAUACGGAGUUACAAAGGACGACAUUAGACGAAUCAUCUGGAAAGAUGAAUCAAAGAAGGUAAUAAUCCUGUAGUCGAAAAUGUUGUCUCUCUUGAGUGGAUCCUGAGUACGACGGAGCACGUGAAAUUCCGUCGGAAUCUGGGAGGACCAUCUCCUAAGGCUAAAUACUCUCUAGUGACCGAUAGUGAACCAGUACCGUGAGGGAAAGGUGAAAAGCACCCCGGAAGGGGAGUGAAAUAGAACCUGAAACCGUGUGCUUACAAGUAGUCAGAGCCCGUUAAUGGGUGAUGGCGUGCCUUUUGUAGAAUGAACCGGCGAGUUACGAUUUGAUGCAAGGUUAAGCAGUAAAUGUGGAGCCGUAGCGAAAGCGAGUCUGAAUAGGGCGUUUAGUAUUUGGUCGUA